GUACAUCUCCUUGAUUUUUCUCCCCAUAUGUAACCAAAAAAAUGCUAUCCUGGAUUUUAUUUCUCUUUCACAGGAAUGGGAAGGAAAAGUGUGGAGUCCGUGUGGAUUUCUCUUAUUUUAUCUGUGGCUUGAAUGUACAUUUCUGAGAGAGGGAGUCAGAUGGUGAAAGGGAGAGAUGUUCUUGCUGAGUUUGUUUAUGUUGUGCUUCAGAGGAUGUAAGACAAGCAGCAAAUCAGCAGAGACAAGUUAAUGUUCACCACCACAAAAGUGAAAUUAAAUAAACUGAUUGGGCAGUCCCUUGAAGAUGGAGUCUCAUUCUGUCACUCAAGCUGGAGUGCAGUGGCGUGAUCUCAGCUCAUUGCAACCUCUGUCUCCCGGGUUCAAGCAAUUCUCCUGUCUCAGCUUCCUGAGUAGCUGGGACUACAGCUGGCACUGCCUCCCAAGCCCGCCGCCAUGGCCGCCUACAAACUGGUGCUGAUCCAGCAUGGAGAGUGCAUGGAACCUGGAGAUCCACUUCAGCAGCUGGUACGACUCCGACCUGAGCCCGGCAGGCCACCAGGAGGUGAAGCGCAGGCGGGCAGGCGCUGCUAGAUGUUGGCUAUGAGUUUGACAUCUGCUUCACCUCAGUGCAGAAGAGAGCGACCCGGACCCUCUGGACAGUGCUAGAUGCCAUUGAUCAGAUGUGGCCCACCUGUAAUGAGGACUUGGCGCCUCAAUGAGCGGCACUAUGGGGGUCUGACCGAUCUCGGUAAAGCAGAAACUGCUGCAAAGCAUGGUGAGGCCCAGGUGAAGAUCUGGAGGUGCUCCUAUGAUGUCCCACCACCCUGCUGGAGCCUGACCAUCCUUUCUACAGCAACAUCAGUAAGGAUCGUAGGUAUGCAGACCUCACAGAUGAUCAGCUAUCCUCCUGUGAGAGUCUGAAGGACACUAUUGCCAGCGCUCUGCCCUUUUGGAAUAAAGAAAUAGUUCCCCAGAUCAAGGAAGGGAAAUGGGUACUGAUUGCAGCCCAUGGCAACAGCCUCCGGGGCAUUGUCAAGCAUCUGGAAGGUCUCUCUGAAGAGGCUAUCAUGGAGCUGAACCUGCUGACUGGUAUUCCCAUUGUCUGUAAAUUGGACAAGAGCUCGAAGCCCAUCAGGUGCAUGGAGUUCCUGGGGGAUGAAGGGACCCUGUGUAAAGCCAUGGAAGCUGUGGCUGCCCAGGGCAAGGCCAAGAAGUGAAGGCCGGCGGGCGGACUACUGUCCCCAGGAGCACCCUCCUUGCCUGGUGUGUCCCUCUGCUCAUCCCUCCUGCACACGCCACACUGACCACAUCUGUAGGCAUCUUGAGCUGUAGCUGCAGAUGAGGACCAGUGGCUCCCAUUUUCGUUUUAGCCAUUUUUGUCUCCUGCACCCACUCCCUUCAUUCAUUCUAGUCAGAAUAGCACUUCUAGGGCAUGGGUUCUCAGUCCAAGCUGUGGAAAAGCUCCCCUUGUCCAAGAGAGUUUAAAGGUAGUGACUUGGGUUUUUGCGACCGCUUUGUUUACUAAGAACUUGUGGGGGAGGAACCAUGCUAAGCCAUGACCAAUGAGGAGAAGCAAGAGAGCCUGUCUGUCCCCAAGAGCCAGUCCUCUGCUCUUCUGUAGUCAGGCCACUGCCUGGGAGCUCUAGUCAUUCCAGUGGAAGAUGAAUGUAACUCGCAUGGUGAUGUGACAGCUGUUUCCUCCCUGACCCCAGAGGAGAUGGCUCUAGAAGGUUGGGAUCAAUCCUGAAUUUAGCUUAGGUGUUACAUUUACUUUUAUAAAAAAAAAAAAGUAUAGUAUAUAUAAAUAAUACAAAACCAUAAUCCUUCUCGGAUCUCUUGUGGCAGUUGAAAUAGUCCCACAUGUGGUCAUCAGAAAGUAAGCCAUUCCUCAUACUAAUAUGGGAUAAGCUCCUUGACCUCAGAGGAGUAGGAGUGCUUCCUGCUGUGUGUUUUAGAAUCCCUCUGCUGCCUUGUUUCAUGGCAGUAAAAUGCCUCUUGGUCCUGUCCAAGUGUGUCUUUCACUGACUGAUUUCUGAAUCAUGUUCUAGUUGCUCGGCCACAUGGGUCCAGUGCUCAUUUGAGCAUCACUGUACUAAAUCCUUUCUCCAGGAAUGAGUAUAAUAAAGGAGUUAUGUGCAAUUAAAAAAA
ensembl:lncRNA PGAM1P5 phosphoglycerate mutase 1 pseudogene 5